GAUGAACGCUGGCGGCGUGCCUAAUACAUGCAAGUCGAGCGAACGGACGAGAAGCUUGCUUCUCUGAUGUUAGCGGCGGACGGGUGAGUAACACGUGGAUAACCUACCUAUAAGACUGGGAUAACUUCGGGAAACCGGAGCUAAUACCGGAUGAUAUUUUGAACCGCAUGGUUCAAAAGUGAAAGACGGUCUUGCUGUCACUUAUAGAUGGAUCCGCGCUGCAUUAGCUAGUUGGUAAGGUAACGGCUUACCAAGGCAACGAUGCAUAGCCGACCUGAGAGGGGGAGCGCCAACACUGGAACUGAGCCACGGUCCAGACUCCUCAGGGAGGCAGCAGUAGGGAAUCUGCCGCAAUGGGCGAAAGCCUGACGGAGCACCGCCGCGGGAGUGAUGAAGGUCUUGGGAUCGGAAAACUCUGUUAUUAGGGAAAAACAUAUGUGUAAGUAACUGUGCACAUCUUGACGGUACCUAAUCAGAAAGCCACGGCUAACUACGUG
rnacentral:rRNA from 1 species